rnacentral:rRNA from 1 species
AGGGAGCGGCGGACGGGUGAGUAACACGUUGGUAACUACUCCAGAAUCAGGGAUAAGCUCUAGAAAUAGGGUCUAAUACCGGAUAGUCCCGAAAGGGUAAAGCAGCAAUGCGUUCUGGAAGGUGCCUGCGGCCUAUCAGCUUGUUGGUGAGGUAAAAGCUUACCAAGGCUAUGACGGGUAGCUGGUCUGAGAGGACGGCCAGCCACAAUGGAACUGAGACACGGUCCAUACUCCUACGGGAGGCAGCAGUAAAGAAUCUUUCACAAUGGGGGAAACCCUGAUGAAGCAACACCGCGUGGAGGAUGAAGGCGUUUUCGUUGUAAACUCCUUUUCUGAAGGAAUAACUUUGAAGGUACUUCAGGAAUAAGCAGCGGCAAACUACGUGCCAGCAGCCGCGGUAAUACGUAGGCUGCAAGCGUUAUCCGGAAUUAUUGGGCGUAAAGCGUACGCAGGCGGUUUGUCAAGUUGGAUGUCAAAACUAUGAGCUCAACUCAUAGCAGGUAUCCAAUACUGGCAAGCUGGAGAUAGGCAGAGGUAAGUGGAAUUCUGUAUGUAGGGGUAAUAUCCGUAGAUAUACAGAGGAACACCAAAAGCGAAGGCAGCUUACUGGGCCUUUUCUGACGCUCAUGUACGAAAGCGUGGGGAGCAAACGGGAUUAGAUACCCCGGUAGUCCACGCCCUAAACGAUGAACACUAGGUGUUGGGGGUCUCGACCCCUUCAGCGCCGCAGCUAACGCAUUAAGUGUUCCGCCUGGGUAGUACGAUCGCAAGAUUACAACUCAAAGGAAUAGACGGGGACCCACACCAGCGGUGGAGCAUCUGGUCUAAUUCGACAAUAAGCGACGAA